GUUCAGUUGACGAGUCCUAAAUAGGACGAAACACGUGUCCAAGAU
rfam:Schistosoma margrebowiei strain Zambia genome assembly, scaffold: SMRZ_scaffold0000243